rnacentral:rRNA from 1 species
AUGUCCUUCAUUCUCGGUAAGGUGGUCGUGGUGGACGAGCUCUCUCUCCGCAAGGAGGAGUUGUGUGUCAAGGUUAAAUCCCUUGACUCGUCCAAGCUCCGGGCCAAGGUCCAGGAGUUCUUCAACGACCAGGGCUUCGACCUCAGGAUCUCCCCCGAGCCGCCCAACCAUGUUGGCCGCCCGCGCAUCCCCGACGACAACUCCUUGGGGGGUGGCCCCGACGGUGGCGGCAUGGGGGCUGUUGCAGCGAUCGGGACCCCCGCCACGACCACAACUCUGUCUCGGAGGAGGACGACAAUGACUCCGAGGACAGCCCGCCCCACGACCCGCAUGUCGCCUCGUCAGCCAGGGGAGGCGUAG